UGAAGCCAGAGGUGGCACAACUCA
rnacentral:piRNA from 1 species